rnacentral:lncRNA from 1 species
GUUCAGCACUCAGGCAGAUGGUGAGGAAUCUCCAAUUAACCUGCCUGGGGCACUGCAGCAUGUGCUGGGGCUAGUGGCAGGUGAGCAUUUUACUGGAAGGAAUCAAGAGCUGCCAGGAGAGCCUAGGGGAGCUGCAGGGACAGCAUGUGCCAGGGGGUCAGCAGUGAAUGGAACCCACAGAGCAUGAGCCUCUUCCAGGUAGAGUCCCUGCAAGAGAAAAUGCUAAAUUGGGGUGUGAGCAGGCAAAGGAGAGCCCUGCAACCCAGGGGACACAGAGGGGACAGGGAAAGAAGUCUGGCAAAUGGUUUCACCCCUAGUGAAAUGCUACAGGCUGGAUAUAGUGCAGCACCCAAACAUUUCUCAUGGCACUGGAAAGAAAGCAGGCUACCUCUGAGCACCCUUGACAGCCACAGAAGAGCUGGUGUGGGAGGCAGUCAGUGGAAGAGCCCUAUGAGCUGUCUCUGCCUCUCAGCCUGCCCAGCACAGCCCUGCAGAGUGCCCCUGUGUCCCAGACACCACAGCCCCCUUGCUCUGCAAAGCAGUACCACAGCUGGGGUGGUAGGGAGCAGGGGGAGAGGGUGCAGGAAUGGUUGGCCAGGCCAGCACAGGCGUGCUCCUUCCUGGGAAAGGCUCUCUGUUGAGGUGGGAAGUCCUGGGAGGAGAGUGGGGCCCCGUGUGUGUGCAGGGGAUCCCUGGAAAGAGAAACCCCUGGGUACUUCUGCAGCUUGGAGCAGGCUGCCAGGGCUCAGCGGCAGCAGGAGCUGCCUGAGGAGCUCCAGGACCAGGGCUCUCAGCCCAGCUCAGAGAGGUGGUUUGUUCCUCCGCAGUGGGACACAGAACGGCUCACUCAGAAGUCCAGAUGUGCCUGGUACAGUUAAGGCUUCAGCAUGCACAUAGUGUACAUGUGCUGAGGUGAACCUGAGAGAGCACAAAUGCCCUCAGCCAGUGUCCAUUCCUCAUGCUGUGGAGGGUUGGGAGAACGAAGGCUGGUCAGCCUCACCUCAGUCCCUGUGAAGGUGAUGGGGCAAGCUUUUCCACA